GCUCCAGGACCUGCUUAUCCUUGGUGCUCCUAAUCAGGUCGGCCGCCAACACCCCCGGGGGCAUACCCAGCCUGAUCUCCAUCUCCAUUCUCUCAUCUGUUUCUACAUCAGCGAGCCUCUUGUAAGGUACACCGGGUUUCCCAAAUGGCCAGAUACCACAGCAAUUCAUGCCUUGUAUCGCCAGAUACUGUCAGGUGUAUAUUUUCUACAGAUAUUGAUGUUAUAGACGCUGUUGUGAAUUUAAUCACACACGAGGGCGCAACUGAAUAUAAAUUCACCUCUUUGAUUCAUGACUGCUUUAGUAUUUCUGGUCUAAAAAACAUCAGCAGCAUCUCUAUGUGCCUACCUCUAAACAGGCCCAAUAAGGAAAAAAAAUACUUUGAACUGUUUAAAGUUGACAUUUCCUGCGAUGAUGCCAAACAGUUUUUGUUUAAUGGCAGGCCUCUAACCAGCGGGCAGGUAGCAUCUUGCCUAGAUUAUUCUCACCUCAAAGCUCAAAUAUUGCCAAUUUUAAAAUUGAUAAUGAGUCUAGAUAACAGAGGGGAGAAAGAGGGCACUUUUCUGGAAAUGGUUAGAUGGUACCAGUCAAAAUUAAUCAAUUUUUUGAGAAAACUGUUAAAGACAACAUCUUCCACACAAUGGUUCAUUACAACCUUUGGACAGGAUGACUUGACCUUUACCCUGGUCAUCGCCUCUUAUUACUUUUAUAAACAUGCUUGUACCGUUGAGACCCUCAUGCACUUGGCUAGACUUUUCUGCGGGGAGCUUGGACACUCUCUCAUUGAUGUGUCCAGUCUUCAGGAACUUGGGCUGUUCUUUUCCUCAAGCUCUAUCCUGGACAGUGUGCCUUUGUUUGCAGAAUAUGUAGAAACUAAACUCAACAUAGACACUCUAGAAAAUGAAAAGAUUGACCAGAUGAUUAAUGAAAUUAGGGGGGGUCUACUGCUGUCUAACAAGGACAUUGUACAAUUUGUGUACCUGGCAUUUUAUGCAUGUUUUAACAAAACUGCCUUCCUGGAAUUUAUUGGAAAGACCUCACCGGACAAUAUCAACACCUACAGUUCUGAAAUUCUUCAUCUGAAACUCUGUGAUGAAUUUUUGGAUAAAAUGUCCAGCUACUAUAACAAGGAAAAAUAUAUUCACACCCAUCUAUUGACAAAGGUUGUCCGUGUACCUGGAGCCAGCUUAGGGUCGUAUGGAGAUACCCCAGGUACUCUCCAGGCCUGGUUUGGACAGACAUCGGACCUGACAGCCUUGUUUGAUUCCAUCAACGAGGAUUUUCCUUUUUAUAGCUCAGAGUCCAGCCUGAAAGAGUUAUUGAAACUAGCAUCCUUAUCUCCACAAGAACUUGAUAACCCAAAGGACAUUCUGUUCCCAGAAAAGCCAAUUUGUCCCACGUACAGAAGUGAAUUUAAAAACAAGACUUAUUUUGUGAUGGUGGCAACAGAUUCUAUAGAAGACUACUGGAAGAAGCACGUCAUUUUCCCCCACUCAAUUAAUUUAGAUGAAUUAACAGACGUGAGAAUCACUGAACUUUUGACCUACUGUGUUAAUGGUUGCACGAGCAACACGGUUGAGGACAAUCUCAUGGUUUCCAGGCACGAAUACUUCAACCCUCAUCUGCCAAUCUAUAAUGUCAUUCUGGAUUUUGAUCUCCCAGUUGAAGUUCCAGGAUAUAAAAUUGAAGACAUAUACAAUCUGUGUCUGCAGAUUCGCCAGGACAUAAUUACUGUCCUCAGCACAAUCCUAAACCUGGAGAUGCCCCCGUCUCAUCCCGUCUAUUUCUUCAAGUCAGAGUGUAACUCUGAUAUAUAUAUGGAACCACGACCAUUUUGUACCUGCAGCAAAAAGAUUGGACUCCGAAUAAUUACACCAUUACCAAUGAGACAUGCUAUAGUUGGAGCAACACCACUAAUAACUCUAGCAAGAGUGAUAAACAGAACUAUCAGACUGAACAAAAGAGUGUGUGAACUAUUCCCCUCAAUCUCUUCAACAGAGUUUUUAUUUGACACGGGUAUCUACAGCCAGGGUCGCUGCAUUCGCCUGCCACACACCUACAAAUUUACAUCUACAGGAUUGCCUGAGAGACUGCUAAAAUUGUUUGUCUGUCACCCAUUUCCAGAUAAGACCUCCUAUGUCAAGAACAGCUUCGUGCUGACAAACCUUUUGUAUCACAGUACCAGUGAGGAUCUAAGAUCUGGAGAUUAUAAUCUAAUAUUGGACAUUCGUGAUAAAGAUGAGGAUUUUUUAUCCUGCAAGACUGUGGCCAGCUUACCAAAAAAUUCUCUAGAUAUUGACAAACUGGAAGAUAUUUUGGGGUGCCCGGUCCAGUCCUGGAUAGACACCACCUUGUGGCCAUUGUUUUGUGAGCAGUUAGUCAAAUAUCUGCCACAGAAAAAUGCAAAUGAACUAAACAACAUUUCAUUUAACGUUGUGUCUAACAACAUGCUACAACUGAAACCUCGCAGAGGUCCAGGCUUCUCCUGUCUGACUCAUCAACACAGAACAAAAUCACAUAAUGUGAGGCUUUUCAUAACCCUGGGAAAGUUCUCACGUGACGUCAUAACUGCAACACUUAUGAGUCAAUGCUUUGCCAAUAAGUGCAACAACAAUAAGCCUGUGACACAUUGCACCGUGCAUGCUCGAGUGUAGAGGACUCUCCGAUCCUGGGCACCAUACAGUACCCACAGCUCGCAGAAUGGCACAGCAGAUGUUGGAGGCGGGCGCGCUGGACCAAAUGAUGGAAGGUAUGUCUUUACAAAAUAAGGAAUCCUACUUAACACUUUUGUAAAAUUUGGAGUUUAAAUUUGGUCUUAAAAUCUCUUGUUUCCCCCCAGGACUACCAUCUGAUUUUGACUUUGAUACAUCUGAUGAAGAAGGUGAGCUCUCAGAUUCUCCACCAGUUGAGGAGCCAACGGGGCCAGUCCGGGAUGUGGUGUACGAACCUGACCCACUCUUCGACGACCCACCACCAACACCCUCGCCAGACGUCAAGCCACCUUCUCCAAAGGCUAGAAAGCGCGCCCUGUCUCCUGAAAUUGUCCACAACUCUCCUCUGCUUAGAGAUACAACAAAGUAUGAGCCUGCACCCAAAAGAAGCUAUUCUUACCACCCCAGACGCAGUCCACAGAGAGAAAAUGCUAACCAGAAGCAGAAAAGGGGACCAGACUCACGAAGACCAAACAGAUGGAACCAGAAAAGCCAGAAACAAUAUUGGUCCCCCAAACCUCUUCUGGAUUACAGCAAAAUUCCAAGAGCAGAGUACAAAAAUGCCAAACUGUUGGUGCCUACAACUGGUAAACUGCGCCCAGAGUUCUAUACUGAUCGGUUUGUGGAUGCUAUAAUUCAGAACGCUGCCAGAAAUUGUCCAGUGUCUGAAAAGGCGGUAUCACUAAAAAAUAUUGAAGAGUCUUUCAAACUGCUUAACUCUUUCUUUAACAGUGGAAUAAAUAAGGAUCAUUGGCUAUCUACAAGGUAUUUUGCAAUCUUCAACAACGGCCUGGUGGUGCUGACCCACAUGCUAGACGAACAGUUGGCCUGGGCAUAUGCUUGCCUGAAACACGGUAGGGAGUUGCCCACUGACGACAUACUCAUGUCUACUUCAGAAAAAUUGUCCCAACAGCUUGUGAUAAAACUCAUAGAGGUGAUAAAAUGUAUAGAAAAGGAUGGAAUAUUCAGCAGGAUCCUCAAAGGUGUGGCAGAUGCGGUAUGCCUUAAGGCCCAGUUCUUACGUGGUAUGAUCACCCUGAAGAGAACCCCUUGCAGCCUUCCCAUGUAUACCCUGUUUGUUUAUGUACUGACUAUUCCCACUCUGAGAACACGUGUAAUCAGGGACCCUCUGCUGACACAGUGUAAGGAUGUGGUCCUAAAGUAUCAGCCAGGCGACUGUAUAACCCUAUUGAAAGCUGCACUAAAUUGUCAUCAGUGUAACAAAGACUGUGAUAAAUGUAAAUAUAUUUUGGAUCCCCUGUUGGGACAAACACACCGCACCAAGGGGGUAUUUUUUGUGUGUGAAUAAUCAAUAAUAAACACAAUUGAACUGCA
rnacentral:tmRNA from 1 species